rnacentral:rRNA from 1 species
CGACGGGUGGGUAACGCGUAUGCAACCUACCUUUAACAGGGGAGUAACACUGAGAAAUUGGUACUAAUACCCCAUAAUAUGGGCGCUCCGCAUGGAGAGUCCAUUAAAGAGAGCAAUCUUGGUUACAGACGAGCAUGCGCUCCAUUAGCCAGUUGGCGGGGUAACGGCCCACCAAGGCGACGAUGGAUAGGGGUUCUGAGAGGAAGGUCCCCCACAUUGGAACUGAGACACGGUCCAA